ACCACCGACUUCGGAGAUUUGAAUGGUUUAGAAAGUUGUCUUAUACCCUGGAAAAUACGGUAUUCUGUUUAACUAGAAGUUUAACUUUUAUUGUGCAUACUAAAAAGAAAGCCUUUGCAUUUCAUUAUCUUCUUAUGGAUAGUCCUCGAUUUACGACAAUUAGAAUUAGAAUUUCCAUUGCUAGGCAAGGUGGUUGUUAACUGUGCCCAAUUUUAUGACUUUUUCUACCAUAGUUAUUAAGUGAAUCACUGUGGUCAUUAAAUGAAUCAUAUAGUCGUUAAAUGAAUUCAGCUAUUCCCGUUGCUUUUGCUUGUUGAAAGCUGGCUGGGAAGGUUCAUGUGACCCUGGGACAUAGCAAUUGUUAUAAAGCUCCCAGGGUUGCCAAGCACCCAAAUUUUGAUCAUGUGGUGUGACAGUCGUAAGUGUAAGGGCAAGUCAUAAAUCCCUUUUUUAGUGUUAUAACUUUGAACAGUCACUAAAUGAAUGGUUGUAAGUUAACCAUAUGUACUGGCACACGUAUAAGUGUUAUACUAUCCUAUGGACUUUCAAUAUUGAGCUAAUUAGUUUUGUCAGAAAUAUGGUAAUACAAGGUAAACCAUUCAAAUUCUCUCUAAAUACAAAUACUUCACUCAGAAACCUAAGUUUUGUUCAUAAAAUUUAGAUUAAUUUUAUUUGUAUCUGUUCAGGGAGGAAAAGCCCAACAGAAUUCAGGAGACUUGCUUCUAGAUAAGGAAAUGCAAAAUUUGUAGACCUAGAUCUUUAGAUUUAUUGGGAGAUCCUUUAUUGGGAGAUCCUGACCACAGGCUGGAACAGCCAAUUGAUGGCUAUCAAACUGAGAAUGGAAAUGUGAGAAGCAAAGAUGUUAUAUCUCAUGUGUAUUUUAUUAUUUGCACACAUCAAUAUAGUGAAAGCUAAACUCUUUGUUAGUCUUCCUAACAAAGUGGACAGUUAAUUAAAAGUCAAAAUAAAAGUAAAUCCAGGGUCUUAAAUUUAAGAAGGAACCCCAUGAUGCUUAAAUAGUCUUUUUAAAAAAUAUAUCAAUCUCAUACAACACAAAAUCCUUCAAAAAUGCAGUGACAGUUUUACUGAGAUAAUACAGUAGAUUUAUAUGGUAAGAAUAUUUUCAAAUAAAUUUAACAUCCAGUGCCAACAAAAUAACAGUAUGGCUAUAAUCAAAAUUAAACAAAGCUGAUAAAUGGUUCCUCAUAGCCCUGAGGCUAUAUAUUUUAAUUUCUGAUAUGUAAUUAAACUGAAAGAUGGAGCACCAUAAAAGGAAAGGCAAGUAGCCAGUUUUAAGUAGGAAUGCCACAAAAAUAGCUAAAUACAUGUUAAAGUAAAUAGCAACAACCUAGCAGUUUCCACAAGGCAGAAAAGAAUGUGUUAUGUAAUUAAUGCAUGUAAAUUGUAGAGACACAGUGAAUUUCAUUUGCAUAAACAUUUUAAUACUUUGCAAGUAAUUCUUCUUCUAGCUGCAAAAGUCCAGUUGCCAAUGUCAAUGCAAGCUUACAUUUUUAAAGCUUUGGCACAGCACAAACCAAUGUUUUUUGCUCAAAUCGGUAUUAAUUCAAAAUAUUUUACUCCCAAGCCAUUGUGAAUGGGGUUGCCUCAAGUUUCAUAAAUCAACCCUUAUUCAGGGCUGCACACAGAUCCAAGAAAUAUGUACAGGACGGAGCCCUUGUGACAAUACAGCAAGGCUUCAGAGUCACUGACUGAACUGAAUGAAGCUCAAUUCAACUCUAAAUAAAAUCCUUAUCAUUGCCAUCUCUAGGCAAACAAUAGUCAUAUGACUCAACUGCACCAUAAAUAGAUAAUAAUAGGCUCUGAGGUUCUUUUAAUGCACGAGGCCACUUUUUCUUCAAUGAGACAGCCCAAACCAAAAGGAUUAAGUAUCAAAUUUAAUUAAUAAUAAUUCUUGUUGUAAAGCAACUUUCCUCAACCUGAUGCCUCCACCAAUCCCAUUUAUGAGACCUGGGAAUAAUGGAAUACUGCAGACCAAUUCAAAGUUUGAGGAGAAGGCUGCCAUUCAGUACAGGUGGAGUUGCUGCCCAUUUGGAAAAAUCUAGGUCUGGGCUGAGAAGAUGAUGCUGUACUGAUCUGGGAAGAUGCUACCAUGCAAUGGCUCCCCCGUGACAAAACUAACUGGUGAAGCUCUUAGCCAUUUCUAAUCAAAAUGAACAUUUGAACUGACACCAUGAAGGACUACAUUGUGGAGAUUAUUCUUGACUGGAAUCAGAAGCUUGCUGGAUAUGUUGCUGUGCUUAUGUCAACACAACUGAAGACAUCCAUCAGAGGAGAAUCUUCAUUAUAAAGUGACCUUGACCACAUUAGAUGUUUUGGAAAAUAACAUCAAGGGAAAUCAGAAUUGCCUCUGGUGGGAUAAAGCCUUUUUUUCUAUUUGUUGGAUGUUGGAGUACUUUCAGUGGUCUAAAUCCUGGUGAAGCUUGAAUAAUACAGCAGAUUUCUGGUGGACUGUGUAAAUGCUGAAUGAAAUAGAAGAACAUUAUUCAUUCAACAUGGGAUAGUAUUUUGAACAUUAAAUUUACAGAAAAAGUAAAUAAACAUAUAACCUGA